rnacentral:rRNA from 1 species
AACGAACGCUGGCGGCAGGCCUAACACAUGCAAGUCGAGCGCACCCUUCGGGGUGAGCGGCGGACGGGUUAGUAACGCGUGGGAACGUGCCCAGAUCUGCGGAAUAGCCACUGGAAACGGUGAGUAAUACCGCAUACGCCCUUCGGGGAAAGAUUUAUCGCCAAAGGAUUAGCCCGCGUUAGAUUAGGUAGUUGGUGGGGUAAUGGCCUACCAAGCCUACGAUCUAUAGCUGGUUUUAGAGGAUGAUCAGCAACACUGGGACUGAGACACGGCCCAGACUCCUACGGGAGGCAGCAGUGGGGAAUCUUAGACAAUGGGGCAACCCUGAUCUAGCCAUGCCGCGUGAGUGAAGAAGGCCCUAGGGUCGUAAAGCUCUUUCGCCAGGGAUGAUAAUGACAGUACCUGGUAAAGAAACCCCGGCUAACUCCG